rnacentral:rRNA from 1 species
ACUUUGAUUAUGGCUCAGGAUGAACGCUAGCUACAGGCUUAACACAUGCAAGUCGAGGGGAAACGACAUCGAAAGCUUGCUUUUGAUGGGCGUCGACCGGCGCACGGGUGAGUAACGCGUAUCCAACCUGCCCACCACUUGGGGAUAACCUUGCGAAAGUAAGACUAAUACCCAAUGACGUCUCCAGAGGACAUCUGAAAGGGAUUAAAGAUUUAUCGGUGAUGGAUGGGGAUGCGUCUGAUUAGCUUGUUGGCGGGGUAACGGCCCACCAAGGCUACGAUCAGUAGGGGUUCUGAGAGGAAGGUCCCCCACAUUGGAACUGAGACACGGUCCAAACUCCUACGGGAGGCAGCAGUGAGGAAUAUUGGUCAAUGGACGAGAGUCUGAACCAGCCAAGUAGCGUGCAGGAUGACGGCCCUAUGGGUUGUAAACUGCUUUUAUAAGGGAAUAAAGUGAGUCUCGUGAGACUUUUUGCAUGUACCUUAUGAAUAAGGACCGGCUAAUUCCGUGCCAGCAGCCGCGGUAAUACGGAAGGUCCGGGCGUUAUCCGGAUUUAUUGGGUUUAAAGGGAGCGUAGGCCGGAGAUUAAGCGUGUUGUGAAAUGUAGAUGCUCAACAUCUGCACUGCAGCGCGAACUGGUUUCCUUGAGUACGCACAAAGUGGGCGGAAUUCGUGGUGUAGCGGUGAAAUGCUUAGAUAUCACGAAGAACUCCGAUUGCGAAGGCAGCUCACUGGAGCGCAACUGACGCUGAAGCUCGAAAGUGCGGGUAUCGAACAGGAUUAGAUACCCUGGUAGUCCGCACGGUAAACGAUGGAUGCCCGCUGUUGGUCUGAAUAGGUCAGCGGCCAAGCGAAAGCAUUAAGCAUCCCACCUGGGGAGUACGCCGGCAACGGUGCAACUCAAAGGAA